GCAGUCGAGCGAAUGGAUUGAGAGCUUGCUCUCAAGAAGUUAGCGGNCAGGACGGGUGAGUAACACGUGGGUAACCUGCCCAUAAGACUGGGAUAACUCCGGGAAACCGGGGCUAAUACCGGAUAACAUUUUGAACUGCAUGGUUCGAAAUUGAAAGGCGGCUUCGGCUGUCACUUAUGGAUGGACCCGCGUCGCAUUAGCUAGUUGGUGAGGUAACGGCUCACCAAGGCAACGAUGCGUAGCCGACCUGAGAGGGUGAUCGGCCACACUGGGACUGAGACACGGCCCAGACUCCUACGGGAGGCAGCAGUAGGGAAUCUUCCGCAAUGGACGAAAGUCUGACGGAGCAACGCCGCGUGAGUGAUGAAGGCUUUCGGGUCGUAAAACUCUGUUGUUAGGGAAGAACAAGUGCUAGUUGAAUAAGCUGGCACCUUGACGGUACCUAACCAGAAAGCCACGGCUAACUACGUGCCAGCAGCCGCGGUAAUACGUAGGUGGCAAGCGUUAUCCGGAAUUAUUGGGCGUAAAGCGCGCGCAGGUGGUUUCUUAAGUCUGAUGUGAAAGCCCACGGCUCAACCGUGGAGGGU
rnacentral:rRNA from 1 species